UACGUAGGGGGGCUAGCGUUGUCCGGAUUUAUUGGGCGUAAAGAGCGUGUAGGCGGCCAGGUAGGUCUGCUGUGAAAACUCGAGGCUCAACCUCGAGACGUCGGCGGAAACCAUCUGGCUAGAGUCCGGAAGAGGAGAGUGGAAUUCCUGGUGUAGCGGUGAAAUGCGCAGAUAUCGGGAGGAACACCUAUGGCGAAGGCAGCUCGCUGGGACGUUACUGACGCUGAGACGCGAAAGCGUGGGGAGCAAACAGG
rnacentral:rRNA from 1 species